CUUGUCAUGCCACAGGUCCCUUGGCAUCUUGCCAAAACCCUGUUCAAAGCCCCUGUGACAUCUGUGUAUCUCAUACUGUGUUAACAAUGGGGUGAGGAUGGUGUAAUAGUCAGAGAAAACCUUGUCUUUGGUUGGAGUGUGGUAAGAUUGGGGGAGUAUAUGUGUAAAGGGAAGCCCUGUAAAAAAGGGCACCACCAUUAUGUGUGAUGAGCAGGUGCCAAAGGCCUUCUUCUUCCUUUCUGCUGACCUCAUAUGGCCAACCUCAGCAUGGUGGGAGCCUCACAGAAGAAGUGGUUGAUCUUGUGGGAAGCACAAAAUGGGAGACUCAUGGUGAUAUGGGUGAGGAGAAAGCUGUCAAAAGUACCACCAAACCAAGAGCUGGCCAAGAUCAUCCAACAGACGUGGUGACUCAAAAGGACGGGAUAGCAGCGGGGGUUGCAGGUGGCCACAUAGCUGUUUUGAAGGCUUUACAAGAAGGGACUUCCAUCCAGGUUAGUUUGGGGAACUCCAGUUUGCAUCUUCUGUCCAGGAUCUCAUCUGGUUUAGCAUUUCUUCCAUCUCCUUUCACUCUCAAUAGCAUCCUGAUUUGGUUCAUCAUAAACCUAGACAUGGUGCCUGAAUAAAAUGUCUGAAGGACAUAUAGGUAAGAGGGCAACAGGAAAUUCUGCAAGGUCUUAGGACAUGAAGGGUG
rnacentral:lncRNA from 1 species